UGUUGGUGAUGCAGACAAUUUCUUUGAAGAGACUUAAAUCUCUCUCAUGCAUGAUAAAAAUUCUCAUCUAGCUUUUGUUUGAAACUCAGAAUCUCAGUCCUCAACCU